rnacentral:rRNA from 1 species
UACGUAGGGAGCGAGCGUUGUCCGGAUUCAUUGGGCGUAAAGAGCUCGUAGGCGGCUUGAUAAGUCGGAUGUGAAACCUCCAGGCUCAACCUGGAGUCGCCAUCCGAUACUGUCAUGGCUAGAGUCCGGAAGAGGAGAGUGGAAUUCCUGGUGUAGCGGUGAAAUGCGCAGAUAUCAGGAAGAACACCCGUGGCGAAGGCGGCUCUCUGGGACGGUACUGACGCUGAGACGCGAAAGCGUGGGGAGCGAACAGG